rnacentral:rRNA from 1 species
UCUGGGCACUGUCUCAACGAGAGACUCGGUGAAAUUAUAGUACCUGUGAAGAUGCAGGUUACCCGCGACAGGACGGAAAGACCCCGUGGAGCUUUACUGUAGCCUGAUAUUGAAUUUUGGUACAGCUUGUACAGGAUAGGUAGGAGCCUGAGAAGCCGGAGCGCCAGCUUCGGUGGAGGCGUCGGUGGGAUACUACCCUGGCUGUAUUGAAAUUCUAACCCGCGCCCCUUAUCGGGGCGGGAGACAGUGUCAGGUGGGCAGUUUGACUGGGGCGGUCGCCUCCUAAAAAGUAACGGAGGCGCCCAAAGGUUCCCUCAGAAUGGUUGGAAAUCAUUCGCAGAGUGUAAAGGCACAAGGGAGCUUGACUGCGAGACCUACAAGUCGAGCAGGGACGAAAGUCGGGCUUAGUGAUCCGGUGGUUCCGCAUGGAAGGGCCAUCGCUCAACGGAUAAAAGCUACCCCGGGGAUAACAGGCUUAUCUCCCCCAAGAGUCCACAUCGACGGGGAGGUUUGGCACCUCGAUGUCGGCUCAUCGCAUCCUGGGGCUGUAGUCGGUCCCAAGGGUUGGGCUGUUCGCCCAUUAAAGCGGUACGCGAGCUGGGUUCAGAACGUCGUGAGACAGUUCGGUCCCUAUCCGUCGUGGGCGCAGGAAAUUUGAGAGGAGCUGUCCUUAGUACGAGAGGACCGGGAUGGACGCACCGCUGGUGUACCAGUUGUCUUGCCAAAGGCAUCGCUGGGUAGCUAUGUGCGGAAGGGAUAAGUGCUGAAAGCAUCUAAGCAUGAAGCCCCCCUCGAGAUGAGAUUUCCCAUAGCGUCAAGCUAGUAAGAUCCCUGAAAGAUGAUCAGGUUGAUAGGUCAGAGGUGGAAGCGUGGCGACAUGUGGAGCUGACUGAUACUAAUCGAUCGAGGACUUAACCAAGUU